rnacentral:rRNA from 1 species
GACGAACGCUGGCGGCGUGCUUAACACAUGCAAGUCGAACGAUGAAGCCGGAGCUUGCUCUGGUGAAUUAGUGGCGAACGGGUGAGUAACACGUGAGUAACCUGCCCUUGACUCUGGGAUAACUGCGGGAAACUGUAGCUAAUACCGGAUACGACCCUCGGAGGCAUCUCCUGGGGGUGGAAAGAAUUUCGGUCAAGGAUGGACUCGCGGCCUAUCAGCUAGUUGGUGAGGUAAAGGCUCACCAAGGCGACGACGGGUAGCCGGCCUGAGAGGGUGACCGGCCACACUGGGACUGAGACACGGCCCAAACUCCUACGGGAGGCAGCAGUGGGGAAUAUUGCACAAUGGGCGCAAGCCUGACGCAGCAACGCCGCGUGAGGGAUGACGGCCUUCGGGUUGUAAACCUCUUUUAGCAGGGAAGAAGCGAAAGUGACGGUACCUGCAGAAAAAGCACCGGCUAACUACGUGCCAGCCGCCGCAGUAA